UGGAUCGUCUUUUAACAACUUGUGUGAUGAAAUCUAGACAGUGAAGAAGAUAGGAAAGAUUGGAACGUCUUUUCAUGACGUGUGGUGAAAUCAGAACUUGUCCGGUGAAAUUUAAACAGUGAAGAAGACAGCAAGGAUUAUGUCUUUCAAUAGGACUUUUGAAGUGAAAUCUAAGCAACGAAGACCAAAGAGGAUUUCAGUGUGUUGACAGUGAAAUAGUGAAAUACUGUGAAAUAGACUGAAGUUUAGUGACAAAGAGAAAUACAGUGAAAUAUAGUGAGAGUGAAAUAUGGUGAAAGAGUGAAAUACAGUGAAAAAGAGUGAAAGAGAGUGAAAUACAGUGAAAUACAGUGAAAGAGUGAAAUACAGGAAAAAUACAGUGAGAGUGAAAUACAGUGAAAUACAGUGAAAGAGAGUGAAAUACAGGAAAAAUAGUGAAGGUGAAAUACAGUGAAAGAGUGAAAUACAGGAAAAAUACAGUGAGAGUGAAAUACAGUGCAACAUACAGUCGGUGGCUACAGUGAGGCUUCAAAUACAGCAGAACAAAAUCAUGAAGGCGAACAUGGAGAGGAAAAUCAGCAGGCGCGGCAAGAGUGAGCACCCUCAACUGGACAAGACAAUGAUAGGCAACCCCACCAACUUCAUCCACGUGGGACACUCCUACAUGCCCCAGGACAGGUUCGAGGACAGCGAGGUGGCGGAGGAAGCAGCAACGGGCCCUCAGGAAAGCCAGACGGAGGUCGUCCAGGAAGAGGGUGAAGGAGGAGGCAGGGAGGAGGAAGGACCGAGGAGGGAUGAGGAGGAGGCGGAGGAGGAGGAAGGGGAGGAAGACCAGACCUCCCCUUCCUCUGGGCGAAGAUACCGGAAAAUAAGCAAGGACAUGAUCAGCCUUCCCUCAAACUUCCGUCACGUCCUUCACAUCGACCCGACAACCGCGGACGCUGAACACCUCUCCCAGCUACUCCAGACAACGAACGACUCAGAGUACGACCUUCAGAACGACCAGGAACAACAACAACAACAACAACAGCAUCAUCAUCAUCAUCAUCAUCAGCAGCAGCAGGACCAUAACGAGCCGACCCCCCAAAAGGACCCCCCACAGCCCCCCCCUACGGCCCCCAAGCCCACGCGACCCUCCCUACGUGUGAGGAAGAAGAUGAUCGGGCCCCCCACGAAUUUCCAACACCUGGACCACAUUUCGGUUGGGGAGCGACUCACGGGCCCGGAGUCCCCCCCACCCCACCUCUCCCCCAACUCCCCCCUCCCCCGCCUCCCCCCUACGCCACCUGGGGGAGAACUGGGGGAGCCUGGGGGUUAUGAGACCAUCUGGGAAUACCAAGAGGAGGCCCAUACCCCUUCCCCCCCUCCACAUUCACCCUACCCCCCUCCUCCCCCUCCUCCACAUUUCACCCCUCCUCCUCCUCCUCCACAUUUCACCCCUCCUCCUCCUCCUCCACAUUUCACCCCUCCUCCUCCACCUACCACUCCUCCCCCUGUCUCUCUCCCCUCCUCCCCUCCCCCUUUCUCUCUCCCCUCCUCCCCCUCCCCUUCCUUCCUCCCCCCUCCCCCUCCACAUAUCACCCAUUCCACAAGCCCUUAUGCAUCCACUCCAUAUGAGUCAUCUACUACAGCUUCUUACACGAGUUCAUCCACUUCCUCCACCCAGCACUCCACUUACAUCCAUCACACGUCCUUCUCCACCCAUCCCAGAGAGACCGUCGUCCAUCUCUCCCACUCCACAUCCAUACCCAUCACCCACUACCCGGAGCCGUCUCACUACAGCACGCCAUCCGUUCACCCGUCCACAGCAUCCACAUCCCGUCCACUCUCAUCCCCCGCCAUCUCCACCUCCCCUCCCGCCUCAUCCAUGUCCACAUCACCUCCUCAUCCACACUCUGCCCCCCCGAAAAAGCCGCCCCCGCCCCCUGCCCCCUUCCCCGCCCCGUCACACCAUAAUGCACCAAGAAAUCGAAGUCCAACGAAGAGCAAAAGUUUCCAUGCCGACUUUACUCAAUUUCGCAUUCCACCUCCACCUGGCCAGAACGGUGGUUUAUAAAGUAAGAGGAGGAAGAGGAGAAGGAGGAAGAGGAGGAGGAGGGGGCGUGGGGGGAAGGGGUAGGAGGAGUCACCCCCACCCCCUUCCUCACACAUUGCCUCCCUCCCCCCCUCUCACAACGCCCCCCCCUCCUCCCUACAACUACCCCCCCCCACACACACACACACUUGGUUCCUUCACGUCAGCUAUAAAUGUAAACACUGGGUCGAGGAGGAGUGACCGGACCUAACACCUGACUUCCGGGCGACAGGUGACCUUCAGGGCGGCGCCGAGGCAGGACGAGGGACGCGAGGGAGGCGGCAGAGCAUGACAGACAACCAUCCCAGCAGUCCCCUCCCCCCACAGUCCCCUCCAUGGUCCCCCCCCCUGCCUCCCCCCCCCUCCUUUUACCUACUCUCUCACCUGACGGAAAUGGACUCCUCUCCCCUCCCCCUCCCUUUGUUCUUACCUCUUAUUAGAUUAUUAUUUAUUAUCUAGAAAACCAAAGCUAAUCAUUCGGCUAUAUUAUCCUGUUGUUAUUGUUAUUAUCAUUAUUAUUAUUAUUAUUGUUAUUACUGUCAGUGACCUUUAAGCAACUUGACAGACUAUGUUAAAAGUUUGUAAUCACACCCACAAGAAGAAGAAUAUGAAGAAAAAGAAGACGAAGAAGAAGAAGAAGAAGAAGAGGAAGAAGAAGAGGAAGAAGAUGAAGAGGAAUAAGAAAAAGAAAAAGAAGAGAAAGAAGAAAAAAAAGGAAAAGAAGAAAAAGAAGAAAAAUAAAAAGAAAAAGAAGAAGAAGAAGAAGAAGAAGAAGAAAAAGAUGACACACACACAAGAGUUCAAACAUAACACUAAGAGAUAACACGUGUAACAUAAGGAGAGGAAGGACGUGAAUGAUUGUAAGUCUAUUCUCUUUAUGUAUUUCCUUCCGUCUAUUAGAGUGUGUAUUUACGUUCAUUACAUUUUUUAAUAAAGAUUUAACCGGU